rnacentral:lncRNA from 1 species
GGCUGACCACCAGGGGGCAGAAGAGAAAGAUCAAGCACCCGACUUUCGCCUUCCAAGCCGUCACUAGCUACCAAGUUAUGGAAGACAAACCUUUCAUCAUCUUUCAAUGGAAGGAAGUUCCAAGGCAAUGGAAUGCCCAUCACUUCCAGGGGGACUAUCCAUGAAACACUUCACCUAUCAGUUGGGCUCUAAGCAGGCACCCAAGCCUCCCUCACCUCCAUUGAAGACAAGUUACUUUUGAUGUUACUCAUGCAAGCUCAUCUUUCUGUUCAAUAAAGCAAUGUAGUCACACAGACAUCAAUACAAGUUCAAGCUUUUCUUUCCAAUGGAGUGUUCACAAAAGCAAUCGACACGUCUCCUGACGUAGGCCAAGCGGGCCACACUUAUCGACGUCUCCGGACGUAGGCCAAACGGGCCACACUUAUCGACACGUCUUCGGGCGUAGGCCAAACGGGUCACUUUGAUCGACACAUCUCCGGACGUAGGCCAAACGGGCCACACUCAUCGACACGUCUCCGGACGUAGGCCAAACGGGUCACAUUCAUCGACACGUCUCCGAGUGUAGGCCAAACGGGGCACACUUAUCGACAUGUCUCUGGGC